CCGCCACUUGUAUUUGAAGUUAAAUGCAGAACUACGUUUUUGAGUCGCUUUAAUGGAAAAUGGCGAUCGUGAUAAGUUAAUGUGGAAAACGAAAUGUUUCGAUUUUAGUGUUUGUAAUAAGGUUUGAAAUAGAUCAAAAGUGAAUAGUUGUGAUCUUUGUGAAUGGUAUUCGAAAAUGCAGAAUGUAUCGCAGGAUUCGUCAGUAGGUAAAGCGAAAAUUGAGAAAGUGAAUGUUCAAUACGAUAUUCGGACUUCGUCAACUCCCCGUUCAACUUCGAAUUCGAGUCUUGCUAAAUCAGAAACGGAAACGUAUUCUGAAAGAAGACGAUACAUGUCGGACUCUUCAGAAAGCGAAGAAGAUAGUGUUUCUGAGGUUGAGUCUUUUAUGAUUGAUCAGGAAUUUGAAGAAGAUCCCGCAGCAAAAUUCCUUCUAAAUCCUGACGAAGAUAGGGCAGUAGAUCCAGAAACCCAAGCACGUUUAGAAGCAUUAUUACAAGCUGCAGGUAUAGGCCAGUUGGCUGCUAAAGAUGGCAAACAUUUAGCCGAUCCUGAAGUUUUGCGACGACUCACCUCGAGUGUAUCUUGUGCUUUAGAUGAGGCUGCAGCUGCUCUCACACGUAUGCGUACGGACAACCCACGCUGUAGUCAAGCAGAUAAAGCUUCUCUUGUAGAAGCCUGCACUGACGGAGACGUAAGAACGGUUCAAAAACUUCUAACAGAGGGAGGCAGGAGUGUACACGAGACAAGUGAAGAGGGAGAAAGUUUGCUUUCGCUUGCUUGCAGUGCGGGAUACUUUGAAUUAGCACAGGUCCUCCUAGCCAUGCAUGCCAAUGUAGAAGAUAGAGGUAUCAAAGGAGAAUGCACACCACUGAUGGAAGCAGCAUCAGCAGGCCACAUAGAAAUUGUUCGUCUACUUGUCGCUCAUGGAGCAGAUGUUAACGCUCAGUCUACAUCAGGGAAUACACCCCUAAUGUACGGAUGUGCAGGUGGUCACACCGAAGUUGUGAAAUUUCUACUUGAGCAUGGUGCUAAUGUGGAAGAUCACAAUGAAAAUGGUCAUACACCUCUUAUGGAAGCUGCCAGCGCAGGCCAUGUUGGUUUAGCAAAGCUUCUGUUGGCUCAUGGAGCUGGAAUAAACACCCAUUCUAACGAAUUCAAAGAGUCUGCCUUAACUCUAGCUUGUUAUAAAGGACACCUAGAUAUGGUGAGAUUCUUACUGGAAGCCGGGGCUGACCAAGAGCACAAGACUGACGAGAUGCAUACUGCUCUUAUGGAAGCAUCGAUGGAUGGUCACGUUGAGGUAGCUCGAUUGCUUCUUGAUUCAGGGGCGCAGGUUAAUAUGCCUACAGAUAGCUUUGAAUCACCUCUAACAUUGGCUGCAUGCGGGGGUCAUGUUGAUCUCGCAAUGCUCCUUAUUGAAAGAGGAGCCAAUAUUGAAGAGGUGAACGAUGAGGGUUACACACCCCUAAUGGAGGCUGCAAGAGAGGGACACGAAGAAAUGGUUCACCUACUUCUUGGUCAAGGUAGAGCAAACAUCAAUGCCCAAACAGAUGAGACGCAGGAAACUGCCUUGACACUUGCCUGUUGCGGAGGGUUCACUGACGUGGCAGACAUUUUACUGAAAGGAGGGGCCAACAUCGAACUUGGAGCAUCGACUCCUCUAAUGGAAGCUGCCCAGGAAGGUCAUUUAGAUCUGGUAAAGUUCCUCUUGUUGCAUGGCGCAAAUGUAGAAGCUCAGACUCAAACAGGAGAUACAGCUCUUACUUAUGCCUGUGAAAACGGUCAUACGGAUGUGGCGGAUCUCCUUCUACAAUAUGGAGCAAACUUAGAACACGAGUCUGAAGGUGGCAGGACGCCUUUAAUGAAAGCUUGUAGGGCUGGACAUUUGUGUACAGUGCAAUUUCUCAUAUCCAAGGGUGCAAAUGUUCGAAAACAAACAACAAACAAUGACCACACUCCCCUCUCUCUUGCUUGUGCCGGAGGACAUCUAGCUGUUGUUGAAUUACUGUUAUCCCAAAAUGCUGAUCCUAAUCACAAACUCAAGGAUAAUUCAACUAUGCUUAUCGAAGCAGCAAAGGGAGGACACACAAAUGUUGUACAGUUACUUUUAGACUUUCCUCAUUCGAUUCAAUCAUUAGCUUUAAACCAACACCAAGUGUCUGGCUCCACAAGCAACCUAACCUUACCUACAGCUCAGAUUUCGAAUAGAGAGCAACCUUCAGGUCAAAGUAUUCCUCAGAACAUACCUGCUCAGUCUGUAAACUUCUUUCAACAACCAACAGGUUCAGUUUUACAAGAAGUUCCAGAAGCAGUAAGGAUAAUUCAACAACAAGAAUUCAACUUGUCGAGUGAGACCAACAAGCAAAAGGUAGCAGGACAAAAUCGAAAUCAAGAACCGCUUUCUGGGAAGAAGUCCGGCAAGCCAUCGCUCUUGCCUAAGAGUCAAUCAACAGGAACAGUGUUUGAAAGCAACCUAACCUCUGCUGAAGCACAACAGGUGCGGUCUCAACCCCUGGAGUUCGAAGAUGAUAUAUUUUCUUCAACAGCAGCCAUGGAAUUUCUACAUAAGGAAGAUCAAAAUAGUACUCUUAUCGAAUUUAUAAAAAAUCGAAAGAAGCAUUUUAAUGGUGAGGAAGGUUCAUCACAAAAACAACAAAUUCUGGAAGAAUUGCAUAAAGUAGAAAGAGAACUUCAUGGAAAACAACAGCCAUCUGUUUUUCAAUAUUCGCAGGAUCAAUUCACUACCAGUUCUGCCAAUCUCCCCAAUAUUACAAGUAUAGACUUAGGGAUGCAACAGCAGCAGGGUUCAACUGCUUGUUUGCAAUCACCUACUUUCAAACUUGCAGUAGGAGAUUCAGCACUGAACAGUAAUCCUAUCCAACCAUCUUUUUACUUCACUCCUAUGUCAUCCCCAGUUACUGUAUCUUUGAACACUGCCACAACAAGCACCGCCAAUCAACCAGUUAAGUUCUCGAGUAUUGCUCACAGUGAAGUUAAAGAGACAACGGCUGUUAGUGAUCGACCUAAAGCCAAACCGGCUAAAAAGGAGGGGAAAAGCGUUCGAAAACAGCAGCAGUUGUCAAUUCAACCUAAUGUUUACACCCAGCAACUUCCAUUGCAGCAACAAGGGAAUCAGUUUGUUUCGGCACCAACAUUGCCACAAGUAGAAGUACAACAGCCAACUGUUCAGAAACCUGCCCAAUUCAGUCUACAAACUAUUACUGGUAUCGAUCUAGACAAUUUAGAUCAAGAGUCAUUAGUUCUGAAAGAAGAAAACAGUGAGAAUUUAAUUACUGCCUCUAUUCUACAGCAGUUUCAGAAUACUUCCCUUAGGACCUUUGUAGAUUCGAAUAAGUCAAGGAUCGAAUAUAGUACAACGUCACAAGGAAAUGAUUCUAAAGCUCAAAUAUUGAAUAAAGAAUACUCCUCAGUUGAAGAGGUUGUUCGUUCUUUAGACCCCUUCACCUCCGAAAGUGGAGAGCAAUCGCUGGCCCAACAUGGAUUGCAAGUUCAACCGUAUCCUAGUUCCUUAGAAGAAUCUAUGAUUGCUUCUAUAACAACUCAACAGGACUUGUCGCCUCCAACUGAUCUGUCACGUGUUGAAUACUUUGUCCAGUCAAAUGGCACACAACUACCGAUGCACCCAUUGUAUCCCUAUGAACAUUAUUUGACUGCACCUGGUGUACCAAAUAAAGGGGAAAGUGGUGCCAUUUAUCAGGCCGGUUUUCAAGCUGGAAUCAAUCUCAUGUCUCAACAUCUAGCAUGUCCAAGUGUUACGGGAGCUGAACAAUUGACUCCAGUCAAUACAGUGACACCUUCAGUUGGGACAAUUUCUGUAUCACCCACCCAACAAUAUGUAAAUUCUUCAAAGCAACUACCUCUACAACUGCAAACACCCAGUCAUCUGAAUGGAUCUCAAAUCCAAUCAGUACAUCAUUAUCAAAUUCAACACCAGCAGCAAAUAAUUCAAGGCCAAUUACAACAAGUGGGACAAGUACAAGCUGCGACACAGACGUCUCAAACACCCAAUGUCAACUUGGACACAUCAAGGAAACAACCGAAAACAUCAACUAACGAUAACGUAAAAACCAAAAAGGGGCGAAUGGGAAGGCAUCCAAACCAGCUUGGAAACAAUUUCCAACAAAAUCAGACCUACCAAAUUGAUCCAAAUUCUGCAAUCACUCAAUACAAUAAUGCCAACAACCAGCAGCCAUGUCCCAAUCCUAUUGUAGCUCCAAGUUUAGACGUAGAUUCUGAAACUGAAAGUAACCACGAUACAGCAUUGACAUUGGCUUGUGCGGGAGGUCAUGAAGAAUUAGUGGAAUUAUUACUGAAUCGAGGAGCAGAUAUAGAACAUCGAGAUAAAAAGGGCUUCACACCUCUCAUAUUGGCAGCUACUGCUGGCCAUGAAAAAGUGGUGGAAAUUCUUAUGAAUCACAGUGCGGAUAUUGAAGCACAGUCCGAGAGAACAAAGGAUACUCCACUUAGUUUAGCUUGCUCUGGUGGCCGAUAUGAGGUUGUUGAUAUGCUACUCAAGCGCAAUGCUAACAAAGAACACAGAAAUGUAUCAGAUUAUACCCCUCUGAGUUUGGCAGCAUCUGGAGGUUAUGUGAACAUUAUAAAGUUGUUACUUAAUCAUGGUGCUGAGAUAAACUCCCGUACUGGUAGUAAAUUGGGAAUAUCACCUCUGAUGUUGGCUGCAAUGAACGGUCACACAGCCGCUGUUAAGCUUUUGCUUGACAUGGGCAGCGACAUAAAUGCUCAAAUCGAAACAAAUCGUAACACUGCAUUGACUUUGGCCUGCUUUCAAGGCCGUCACGAAGUAGUCAGUUUACUUUUGGAUAGGAAGGCCAAUGUAGAGCACAGAGCGAAGACUGGAUUAACUCCAUUGAUGGAAGCAGCGAGUGGUGGGUACGUUGAAGUCGGUCGCGUUCUUUUAGACAAAGGUGCCGAUGUUAAUGCUACACCUGUACCAUCAUCCCGUGAUACAGCCUUAACAAUAGCAGCUGAUAAGGGUCAUGUUAGAUUCGUAGAACUUCUAUUGUGUAGGGGUGCUCUUGUGGAGGUUAAGAACAAAAAAGGUAAUUCUCCCCUUUGGUUAGCUGCCAACGGAGGACAUUUGGCUGUGGUGGAACUCUUGUACAAUGUUAAUGCCGACAUCGAUUCUCAAGAUAAUCGAAAGGUUUCCUGUUUGAUGGCAGCUUUUAGAAAGGGUCAUGUGAAAGUUGUUAAAUGGAUGGUACAUUCGGUCACUCAAUUUCCAAGUGAACAAGAAAUGAUGCGUUAUCUAUCCACUAUAAGCGACAAAGACAUUAUGGACAAAUGCCAUGAAUGCAUCGCUAUCAUCCAAGCAGCAAAAGAGACACAAGCAGCCAAGGCUAACAAAAAUGCCAGUAUUUUGCUAGAAGAGUUAGAUAUGGAAAGGACAAGAGAAGAGUCUAAGAAAUUAGCGGCUGCAAGAAGAAGGGAAAGGAAAAAGAAAAAGAAAUUAGAGAAGAAAGAAGAAAAAAGAAAGUUACUUGAAGAAAACAAGAAAAACGAAAAUUAUGCCGAUAAAGUCGAAACAGAUAAAACAGAGGAGAAAGAGGAUGAAGAAAGUCCAGUUGAAUCUGCAGGCAGAACAGUGGAAGUUGGCGACAAAGAGGAGGGUGAUAGUGGAAUUGAUGCGAACAGCCAAGGAAGUUGUUCCAGUAAUGAUAUAAAAUCGAAAGAUAAGAGAAAGGAUAAGAAAAAGAAGAAGAACACUUCGAACGUCAAAGGCGGCAGUUCUAUGAGACAAAAUCCAAAUAAACAGCAAACGUCUUAUGAACAAUCAUCUGAAAAAAACGAAAAAACUAAUGAGAAACAAAAUCAAAACAUUAGAAAGAAUCCAACAUUUGAAGGAAAAAGUCCGGCUGAUCGAGACGACUUCGAAGCAACUGGAAAUGAAUAUGUUUCUUCGAAUAAACUCAAAAAAGGUCAGUCCCAUGAUGACCAUUCCCCAAAAAACACCAGUCCCAAGCAGAAUUCAAAAAGGGAGGAAGGCUGGAAAGAAGUAGUCAGAAAAUCUUCUGUUCAAACAGUUUCUACCAAUGAAGCCGGUAUUAAAAAAGUAUCUGUUCCUUUGAAUGCCAUAUCAAGGGUUAUUGGAAGAGGAGGUAGUAAUAUUAACGCCAUCAGAGGUUCAACUGGUGCUCACAUUGAAGUAGAAAAACAGAGUAAAGGACAGGGUGAAAGGAUAAUCACUUUGAAGGGUUCAGCUGAUGCUAUUAAAUUAUCACAAACAUUAAUAGCUACUCUGAUCAAAGAUCCUGAGGUUGACAUAAUGCAAAUGUUACCGAAAGCAGUGAAGACGAAUCCACCAGCAACUACCUUGUGGGAUAAAACACAAAUUGGUACUAAAAAAGCCACAGGAAAAGCGAUAGCGCAGCCUUCCUCUUCUCAGAAAAUUGAGAAGGUGGUACCAACAAACAUUACAGCCAAUACAGGUUCGGUACCGAAAUCUGUAUCUUCAGUAGUCAAUAAAAAUAAAUCAUCAUUUAUUGUUACGAACACAAGAAAUACCGCUCCACGGUUGAUGGCACAAGCAGAAAAGAAUGCCACUCAAAGUUCAUCUUCCAAUAAGCCAUCACUUCAAAAUCAACCCAACCCUGUGGCUAGAACCUCAAACAAAUCAAUUGCUCUCAGCCAGUCCUUUGCUGCUAAGCUGACAGACGCAAGUGCAGCUCCCAGUGUAGCUAUCGCGCAUAGUAGUAUGAAGCCUGUGUUGAAUAUGCAACACAAUAGCAGCGAUUCUGUAUCACCGAAAAUCCAAAGAAUGCCGGCAUCUAUCCCCCACACUUCCCCAAUUAAACAAAAUCGUCCGGAACCGACAGCUUCUGCGCCACCCAUGAUGCAGCACUUCCAGAGUCCCAGAAAGGCUCCACUGGUUCCGUCUUCAACUCAAAUGACCCUAGUGACCAUGUCAUCAAAUGACGUUUCUGCAGUUGGUGGAAGUGGGGAUCAUGGGAGAAGUACAACGCCAAUCAAGAAGCCAGCCACUCAAAUAAGUCAUAACGAAGAGAGUCAUUCUGUGUCGUCUAGCGUGUCUGCUCGCUUGGAGUAUACUUUGUUCAAUUCCGGCGAUCAACAACCCAUGUGGCGUCGGGGUGAUAACGAAUCGCAAAAACCAGUGAACUUUGCUGCAGCUACUGGAAAUUCCAACAUGCAAGCUUCUUCUACGGGUUCCAAGUUCAUGGCCCAAGAUCUACCUUUACAGGUUGAUGCGGCUAAAGCUCCUGGUUAUAGAGGGGGAUCCACAUCUUCGCCUAUUUCUUCGAAAAAUAACAGCAAUAGCACAACACCUCCAAAUAUAGCUGGUCCGUCAUACUCUCAAUAUCAUGAACCACAGAAAGCACAACAUAUGUCACAUAUGGCCAAUACUAUUCUCAGACCUCAGCCAUCACAGAAUAAUCUUCCAAGUGAAAUGCAAGCUACCAGUAACUACUAUGGUGAAUUAUUCAAUCAAGGUGCAGCAGUUUCUAGUAUUUCGAAUCCGGUCCCUAAUAUAGGAAAGGAUGCUCAUCUGAUAUCAUCAUAUAACCAAACGCAAACUAGUUCUGGAAGAAAUCAGAACUACUCACAAAGCUCGCAACCCACUGUUAGCAUGUCUAGGUUAAAUCCAAAGGCACCAGAUUUUUCAAGUUCCUUAUAUUCUGUUUCAAACAAAUUAUUACAUCAACAACAAUCCCAAUUGCAACAAUCGCAGUUGUUCAACGCAUAUUCCAUGGAUAACUCUGCUCCUAUGCAUUUUGUGCCCAAAGGAAAUAUUGAUGGUUAUCAUAGAAGCAAUAUGGUCCAAACGAAUCAAAUGCCAUUGCUGCCACUUCAGUCAACUUUAACCCAACAACAAACGGAAAUGAUCAGCGGGAUGGCCACAGGAUUGACCCUUCAUAACAUAGCGAGGGCGACAGGGAGUGAAAUUCUUGAAGGUCCGGCAGAUCUUGGCUUAAUGAAUAAUUCACCAAACAUGUCACCUAAUAUGUCGCCAUUGCAAACAUCGGAGAACACAUACCUAGAUGAUAGAAAACCAAUGCAACCACCACCGAUUGGUACCGAAAGGGCUAGAAGAAAUUACAAUUCCAACCUAGAAAGUAGCAAUUGGAUGAUGGGCAAUGAUAAGAAUCAACCUAGAUGGGUAACCCAUAAUUUGGAUAGGAUGAAUAUGAGGGUAAUGGACCAGCCUAUGGCGGAUACUUAUAGUCAUGGCAUGCAACUGGACAAUACUCCUAACUAUUCGAGCACAUCCACCAUGCCACCUUUUUUGCAAAUGACUAAUGCAAGAUCUAUGGAUUUCGUGCCACCUACUUGGGACGCCAACUCUCGCCAAAAUUUACUAGAUGAUAAUCAAGUAAGUCAUCUUUUCGAUUUUUUCGAUUGAUUCUCUAUAUCGUUUUUUUUUUUCGUUGUUUGUAUAAGUAGAAGUUGACAUGUAGUAUAUAUUUAUAUUACUCAAUACAUUUGAUUUUCAGAUGAAUUGUUUGAUAUUUAACUCAGAAAUGUAAAGAUUCAUUAAUAAUUAAAUUUUUAGUAAAUUAUUAUUAAUAUUUCAAUCCUUUUCCAAAAAUUACAUAUUUAUUUGAGAUUGUUAUGAAGAACAACAAAGAUUAUUGGUUUUAGGUUGAAUAAACUACAUCCAUUGUUUUUAGUUGUUUUGAAUAACCAAAUUAAUUUUUUCGCAAGAUAAAAAAAAAUUACCAUUUUAGAGGUUGCAUUAAGAAGCUUACUUGAGGCAGACCAGAAUGAUUCACAUUGUUAUAUCAAUGUCUUCUUCUUCUUGGCGUGCCCUAUCCGUUCCGGACGUUGGCAAUCAACAUGGCAAGUUUUAUCUUGUUCGCUGCGUUUCUAAAAAGUUGUUAUAUCAAUGUGGCUAAAGUUAAUCCAGCAACUAUUGCUAGUUCUUUCUCUAACAGGUAAAGGUUAGCAAAAAUCGCUUUCACAUCUCGAGGAAAAAAGAAAUCAGGUAUGGGCCAUGUCUGAUUGGAAACAAUAACUUCAGUCAGAAGCCAGUAUGACUCGCAGCCGAAAUUAUUCUUUCCUCCACUGUGAUUCCCGAAAUGUAAUUUCACUACGAAUAUAAUUCAGCAUUAAAUCCUUUAAGACAGAAAUGUAACUUUGUUUACUGCCCUUUAUACAGGUUUUAGCAAGUUACACUUUCGUGCCUGCAAAAUUUGGUGUAAAUAAGAUACUUCUUGUUUGUGUUUUUCUUAUUUGUAUAGAGAUGUUAGCAUGUAUUGUUUCCUUCGAACGCUUAUAGUUAUGUGAUGAAAUAUUUGAACCUUAUAUUUUCUGCUGAAUUUGAAUGAUAUGAAUCAAAAGGCUUCGUUAGUGGUUCUUCAAGAGCCUUUAGCUAAUCGAACAUGGUUAUAAUAUGAAAAAUAUACUAAACAUUAUAUAAGAUAUACAAAUAUAUAUAUUAUACAUACAUAUAUAUUGUAGUAAAUAUUGCGCGAUGGUGUAGAGGGUUGGCGAUAGAAAUUGGAUAAGACUUUGUUACAGAUGUGUCUAUUACAAAACAUAUGCAUGUAUUAUUUAUAAUAUACCUAGAUGUCUGCAUGUCAUAUUGCUUGACAUGAAAUGAGCGUUGGUCGCUGAUUGCAUCUGUCUAGGGUUAAUAUUAUGGAGUAAAUUGUAAAGCUGCUUGUACAUGAAGAAUUGAAUAUAUCUUUAUGCACUCAAGUUUAUAAUUAUUUAAAUUUCGCCUUUAGAAUGUAACAUUAUUUAUAUUCUAAUAAAGUCUCUAGUUAAAUGUUA